UACGUAGGGUGCGAGCGUUGCCCGGAUUUAUUGGGCGUAAAGGGCGCGUAGGCGGCUCGACACGUUCGUUGUGAAAUCGCCCGGCUCAACUGGGCGGGGUCAGCGAAUACGGUCGAGCUUGAGCAAGCUAGGGGGCAAUGGAAUUCCCGGUGUAGUGGUGGAAUGCGUAGAUAUCGGGAGGAACACCUGUGGCGAAAGCGGCGCACUGGACCAUAACUGACGCUGAGGCGCGAAAGCUAGGGGAGCAAACAGG
rnacentral:rRNA from 1 species